GGCCCAGUGCUUAAGAGAAGAUUUAAAACAGCCAGCCUGUUUGUUGAAAUUUGCAGUUUGCAUCACUCGGCUGGCAUCGUGCGCAACGUCUGGCUUCGGAAAGCCAUAGCAGUGUCUCCCCUUGCAUGCUGCCCUUGAACUGCCGCAAGUGUGAGUGGUGACGGCUCAAGCUGGCAUUUCACCCACUUGGCUGCGGGAGAGAAGAAAGGGAUCAUGGGGAAAAACCAGCCUCCAACUGGCUGCUGUCAGAUUGGCAGCCGUUUCUCACAUUACAGUGAAGGGAGCAAUGCUGUAAGCUGCCUUAGGUCCUGCACUGAGAGAAAGGCGGGAUAUGCAAGGUAAUGAAAUGAAAUGAAAGCAGCAGCCAGGCUAAGUGCACCCUGUCUUGUCCAUGGGAUCACUGUGGUAACAGUCGGCCCUAAAGGACAUUAGAAUGAUAGAUGGGCCAUCUACCUUGUGCUCACCUGCUGGAGGUGAGGUUGCAAAAUGAAUGAUGAGAAAAUUACAGCUGAGCAAGCCUUGACUCUGCAGGGCGUGGGCAGGGCACAUUCCUAGCAGACAAGGGAAAUAAAUCCAGCCCUUUGGUUAUCUCCCCGUGCAUAACCCCAACACAUAUUUCUGCUAUGCACUCCACUUCUGGGGUUAUGAUGUGGGCAAACCCAUUGCAGCUUUCCUUCAUGUCAUGAGAUACACACUGCUUUUACUUCCCCUGCUUGUAGAUUGCAAUGCCAUGAUCAGCCCUUGCUCCAAGAACAGUCUGGCAUAAUGGGGAAAGGUUCCUUUGAGCAAAAGCAGAGUGCCAUUCUUCCCUCUGAAAAUACUCAUUUCUAAAAGUUGAGGAUCAGAGCUUUAGCUAGGUUGCUUUAGAACCUGAGUACCAAAAGCACCAUUGAGAUGUAGAUCUGACGCACUUCCAGGUGAGGGCUUAAUAAUAAUAUUAUUAUUAUAAUAAUAAUUUAUUAUUAUACCCCACCCAUCUGGCUGGGUUUCCCCAGCCACUCUGGGCGGCUUCCAACAAAACACAAAAAUACAACAACCUAUUAAACAUUAAAAGCUUCCCUAAGCAGGGCUGCCUAAACAGGGCAUUGUAAAUAGACCAUUCAGGUAUCACACAUGGAUCAUUGGCAGCAGUUUUUAAAAAGCACUUUUUGCGUUUCUCUCAGGGUAAAUCUGGAUUGGAUUUGAAGUGGAUUGGAAUAUAGGCUGGUGUUUUGAUGGCAAGGACAUCAUGUGGGCUCUGCAAAACAAAAAACAAAACACCUUGCGUAGAUGAGUAGCACCCAUCCCACAAUAAACACCUGUCUGAAACUGCCCUUGUUCUUGUAAAAAAAAAGGAGGAAACUGCAUCAGCAGGAGAUGAAAGAGCAGAGGGGCUUAUCAAACAAGAAAAAGCCUACUGGUGCAUCAGUGCCUGGGGACAAUGAUGCAGACACAUGUCUGAAGGGCAGGGGUGGGGAGGAAACUCCUUGAAUUCUUCAGCAACCUGCCUCAUCUCUGCUUCUCCCCCCCCCCCCGCCUCCACUUCUGCCUCUGAGUCUGGACUGCUGUCUACCACAGCCUCUUCCAGCUCACUAAACCCUGUUGCCUCUUCAGCAUUCGACACCUCCUGCUCAUAGCUGUCAACUUUUCCCUUUUCUUGUGAGGAAUCCUAUUCGGAAUAAGGGAAUUUCCCUUAAAAAAAGGGGAAAGUUGACAGCUGUGCUCCUGCUCCCAGUCUGCCUACCUCCCCUCUGUCCACCCAAUGCCAUCCCACCACCAAUCCCUGGCUCUGAGCCUUCUUCUCUUGGAGGUUCCCUCGGGGGUUCCCCAACUGCCUCCCUCCAUUCCUCUGCAUCCAGCCAGUCUAUGACACUGGCAUCCCCAGGUACGACUGGGGAAGGCAUCCGUCGGAAAACCUGGAGAGCCACAGCCAUUUAGUAUAGACAGUACUGAGUCAGACGUGGAGAGCACUGUAGUAACACCCAGCUAACUCGGUGUAAGUCAGCUGCCGGUGUUCCCACUCUGUUAACAACUGCCUCCGAAAGUGUUAAGUAAGUGUUCUUUUCAAGCUCUUGUUCCGAACAGUUUAUAUAGCACACGGUACAAAUGAGCAAACAUGCUGCCCUAGAGAGGCGACAACUUAUCUGGAGGGUGUACAUAAUCAGGCAUUUCAGAAGGAAAAGAAUGCAAGUUAUUUACCAUUAAAUCUGUUGCUGCAGGGAAAGAUUUCUAAAACCCCUUUGCCAAGCAAGCUCCUUCCCCGCCCCUGGAAGGUUUCUCCAGCUUCAAAACAGCACCAGCUCAUUAAAAGGCAGGGCAGCCAGGCUUCCAUUGCAGUCUCACACUUUUUCUCUCAGAGUUUGCGGUUUUAUAUGGGUCUCCCGCAACCCCCACCCCACCCCCGCCUCCGUCCCCCAAAGCAUCCACUUGACUGCCCAGGAACCUACAGCACCAUCGGCUGAGAAAGCUGUGGCGAAGAACAAACUCCCUCGAGUUUGGAGCCCUGGAGGGCAGCCAUGUUGAAACUAUCAUUGUUUCGGCCCAUGUCUUUCAUUAAAGGCUGCCAGAUAAAUAUUUACAGCUGGUCAUGGGAGGAGGCAAGCUGGAGGGACCUCGCCACAUUUUUCUUCAUUUGACUGCUCAUCUGGCGUAGGCUUUUGCAUCUAUGCAAUAUUGCGUUGAAUUUGUCGUUGCUGUUGUCAUCUUGGUGCAUUAAGAAUUGUGAGCUUUCAUUUCAAAAUAAGCCGUAUCUGAAUCCCACUGUAUUACCAACAUGGCAACGUCUUGUAGAGGUUUUAAGGCAUAUGCCAGAACAUAGUCCUUGGUGUUUAAUGAAUCACAAAUUUCAAGGGAGCUCCUCCCUGCCUGGUUUUGAAUUGUGUUACAUCUGGUAAUCUCCCGCUACCCUGGAAAUCUGAGAUGCCCUGUGUCAGUGUGGCUUCUGGCCUUGUGGUGCUGCUAUGGAAUGCCAGGUCAGUCUGCAAUAUGUUCCUUCAUACAUCUGACAAAGUGGGCCUCAGUCCACAAAAGCUUAUUCUACAAUAAAUAAAUCUGUG